rnacentral:misc_RNA from 1 species
GGAAGUAAAAGCGUAACAAGGUUUCCGUAGGUGAACCUGCGGAAGGAUCAUUACCGAGUGCGGGUUCCAACGAGCCCAACCUCCCACCCGUGUUUACCAUGACCGCGUUGCCUCGGCGGGCCCACUGGGGCCUGGCCCCGGUCGCCGGGGGGCUUCUGCCCCCGGGUCCGCGCCCGCCGAAGCGCCCUGGAACCCUGUCUGAAUAGUGAGUCUGAGUGAAUGAUUUAAUCAUUAAAACUUUCAACAACGGAUCUCUUGGUUCCG